UACGUAGGGUGCGAGCGUUGUCCGGAAUUAUUGGGCGUAAAGAGCGCGUAGGCGGUUUGUCGCGUCUGCCGUGAAAGUCCGGGGCUCAACUCCGGAUCUGCGGUGGGUACGGGCAGACUAGAGUGAUGUAGGGGAGACUGGAAUUCCUGGUGUAGCGGUGAAAUGCGCAGAUAUCAGGAGGAACACCGAUGGCGAAGGCAGGUCUCUGGGCAUUAACUGACGCUGAGGAGCGAAAGCAUGGGGAGCGAACAGG
rnacentral:rRNA from 1 species